rnacentral:rRNA from 1 species
AACGAACGCUGGCGGCAGGCUUAACACAUGCAAGUCGAACGCCCCGCAAGGGGGAGUGGCAGACGGGUGAGUAACACGUGGGAACGUGCCCUUCGCUUCGGGAUAGCCUCGGGAAACUGGGAGUAAUACCGAAUACGCCGUAUUGGGAAAGAUAUAUCGGCGAAGGAUCGGCCCGCGUUGGAUUAGCUAGUUGGCGGUGUAAUGGACCACCAAGGCUACGAUCCAUAGCUGGUCUGAGAGGACGACCAGCCACACUGGGACUGAGACACGGCCCAGACUCCUACGGGAGGCAGCAGUGGGGAAUCUUGGACAAUGGGCGCAAGCCUGAUCCAGCCAUGCCGCGUGAGUGAAGAAGGCCUAGGGUUGUAAAACUCUUUCGCCGGUGAAGAUAAUGACGGUAACCGGAGAAGAAGCCCCGGCUAACUUCGUGCCAGCAGCCGCGGUAA